rnacentral:rRNA from 1 species
ACGAACGCUGGCGGCAUGCCUAACACAUGCAAGUCGAACGCAUGUAGCAAUACAUGAGUGGCGAACGGGUGAGUAACGCGUGGGAACCUGCCUAGUGGUAGGGAAUAACCGCGGGAAACUGCGGCUAAUACCCUAUGAGCCCUCCGGGGGAAAGAUUUAUCGCCAUUAGAGGGGCCCGCGUCGGAUUAGCUAGUUGGUGGGGUAACGGCCCACCAAGGCAACGAUCCGUAGCUGGUCUGAGAGGAUGAUCAGCCACACUGGGACUGAGAUACGGCCCAGACUCCUACGGGAGGCAGCAGUGGGGAAUAUUGGACAAUGGGGGCAACCCUGAUCCAGCAAUGCCGCGUGAGUGAAGAAGGCCUUAGGGUUGUAAAGCUCUUUCGGCGGGGAAGAUGAUGACGGUACCCGCAGAAGAAGCCCCGGCUAACUUCGU